rnacentral:rRNA from 1 species
UACGUAGGAGGCGAGCGUUGUCCGGAAUUACUGGGCGUAAAGAGCGCGUAGGCGGCACGAUACGACCACGGUGAAAGCCCCCGGCUCAACUGGGGAGGGUCCGUGGUAACGGUCGAGCUGUGAGUGCAGGAGAGGGAAGUGGAACUCCGGGAGUAGCGGUGAAAUGCGUUGAGAUCGGAAGGAACGCCCGUGGCGAAAGCGAGUCCCUGGACCCUUUCUGACGCUGAGACGCGAAAGCCAGGGGAGCGAACGGG